UAGAAAAAGGGAGUAAGUAAACCCCGCAUCAAAGUUAGCAGCUUCAAUAGGCUUUUUCU
rnacentral:tRNA from 1 species